rnacentral:rRNA from 1 species
AAGUGGGGAUGACGUCAAGUCCUCAUGGCCCUUAUGGUAGGGCUUCACACGUCAUACAAUGGUCGGUACAGAGGGUUGCCCAAGCCGCGAGGUGGAGCCAAUCCCUUAAAGCCGAUCGUAGUCCGGAUCGUAGUCUGCAACUCGACUACGUGAAGUCGGAAUCGCUAGUAAUCGCGGAUCAGCAUGUCGCGGUGAAUACGUUCCCGGGUCUU